UACGUAGGGACCAAGCGUUGUCCGGAAUUAUUGGGCGUAAAGAGCUCGUAGGCGGUCUGUCGCGUCUGCUGGGAAAACUCAGGGCUUAACCCUGAGCUUGCAGUGGGUACGGGCAGACUAGAGUGCGGUAGGGGAGACUGGAAUUCCUGGUGUAGCGGUGAAAUGCGCAGAUAUCAGGAGGAACACCGGUGGCGAAGGCGGGUCUCUGGGCCGAUACUGACGCUGAGGUGCGAAAGCGUGGGGAGCAAACAGG
rnacentral:rRNA from 1 species